GCAGUGGUGGUUCAGUGGUAGAAUCUUGUCUUCCAUGCUGGAGAGCUGGGUUUGAUUCCUGGCCAGCGCA
rnacentral:tRNA from 1 species